rnacentral:lncRNA from 10 species
UGACAUGCCAUCUGAGUGAUUCCACUUUGCCUGUUCAUUUUAUGCCCAGCAGCUCUUAAUACAGUCCAGCAGUUCAUACUGGAAAAUACAGAAAUCAAGGGACUGCUCUGUCAGUGAGCAUUAUGUUCACAGGUUCGUGUCACAGGAUGAAGGGGCAGGAGAAGAUGCUGGGGGCCAGUCCUUAGUCUGAAGCCUCCAUGGCAGCCCCAUCAAGGGAUUUUUUGGUCUCUGUUUGCAUAUCUCCCUGGAUAGGAGGAUCAUGCUUCCUUUCAGCUCUGGCUAGAAGAGACUUCUAGCUGGUAGAGCCCAACAAUACCUUGCACAUUUUGCCGAGGAAGCUCUCAGGCUGACAGUGAAGUGAUUUGCUCAGGGUUGCCUGGUGCGACAGUGGAAAGCCUGGGUCAGAGUCUUGGCACUGGGAAGCCUGGUUCUGUCCUUGACCUCAAAGUUGAGUGGAAAUAAUCCCAAGGGAGGAUUUAGGCUGUUCUGGAGGCUGGGAAGUCCAAGUCCAAGAUCAGGGACAGGCAGAUUUGGUGUCUGGUGAAGCCUGGUUUCCUGCCUCAUACAUAGCUGUCUGUCUUCCCUGUGUCCUCAUGGGGUAGAAAGGGCAAGGGAACCCUUUGGGGUCC